rnacentral:rRNA from 1 species
GAUGAACGCUGGCGGCGUGCCUAACACAUGCAAGUCGAGCGUGAUAGUGUGGAUUGAAGCUUCGGCAGAGAGAAACACAUGAAAGCGGCGGACGGGAGAGUAACGCGUGGGCAACCUGCCCCAUACAGCGGAAUAGCCACUGGAAACGGUGAUUAAUGCCGCAUAAGACCACAGUAUCGCAUGGUACGGGGGUCAUAGAUUUAUCGGUAUGGGAUGGGCCCGCGUCUGAUUAGGUAGUGGGUGAAGUAACGGACCACCAAGGCGGCGAGCAGUAGCCGACCUGAGAGGGCGGACGGCCACACUGGAACUGAGACACGGUCCAGACUCCUACGGGAGGCAGGAGUGGGGAAUAUUGCACAAGGGGCGCAAGCCGGAUGCAGCUACGCCGCGUGAGAGAAGAAGGCCUUCGGGUCGUAAAGCUCUGUCCUGUGGGAAGAAAAAAAUGACGGUACCACAGGAGGAAGCCCCGGCUAACUACGUGCCAGCCGCCGCCGUAA